rnacentral:rRNA from 1 species
CCUAUGAAAUCGAGUGGCAAACGGGUGAGUAACGCGUAAACAACCUGCCCUUCGGAUGGGGAUAACAGCCGGAAACGGCUGCUAAUACCGAAUACGAUCUUUUCGUCGCAUGACGGAAAGAAGAAAGGAUGGCCUCUAUACAAAGCUAUCGCCGAAGGAGGGGUUUGCGUCUGAUUAGCUGGUUGGAGGGGUAACGGCCCAACAAGGCGAUGAUCAGUAGCCGGUCUGAGAGGAUGAACGGCCACAUUGGGACUGAGACACGGCCCAGACUCCUACGGGAGGCAGCAGUGGGGAAUCUUCCGCAAUGGACGAAAGUCUGACGGAGCAACGCCGCGUGAGUGAAGAAGGUCUUCGGAUUGUAAAACUCUGUUAUACGGGACGAAAAAGACGGAUGCCAACAGUAUCCGUCCGUGACGGU